GCCCCGGUGGCCCAGUGGUUACUCUCCCGCCUGUGGUGUGGGCGACGCAGGUUCGAUUCCCGCCAUCAGUG